CAAAUGUAUCAAUAUAAAGAUCAUCGAGACGAAGCAAAGCGAUAGCGUCGUCAAUAUCAAAUCCAAGAGCAAAAGCUUGAACAAAGUCCAUACCCUUUUGAAGAGCGCCAGGAUCUUUGGUAGCCUUACUUUCUCUCAAUUCGACAGAGCGUGAUUUGGUGUUCAUACGAACUUGCAAUAACAAAUGCUCAACCAACGGAGGAUACAAUUUCGGCCAUACGUUUCGCAGAGGUGUCAUUCUAUGAGGCGGUAUUGGAACUCUGCGCAUCUGUGGUUUAGCUCCUCGUUUUUUUUCUGCUGAAGUUUUAGCAGGAGCAAAUUUAGGAGCUCCUUCUAUGUCCAUUGUUCCAUUCACAGCAGAGUCCGAAAAUUCAAUUUCACCCCGGGUUGUAUCUAUCAUAACAUUGUCUGAGACAGUUGUUAGAGAAUAAUUUAAACUAAAUUUAGGACUAAACAUACCAUUUUCGC